CUUAAUGUAAAAAGGUAAGCUAAACAAGCUAAUGGGUUCAUACCCCAUUUAUAGAGGUAUCAAUCCUCUCCUUUUUAAUGACCAACAACUCUACAAAACUUCUCUUCCUAUCAACAUUAAUGAUAGGAACGAUCCUGUCCAUUUCAUCAAACUCCUGAUUUGGAGUUUGAAUAGGACUUGAGAUCAACUUACUUUCAUUUAUUCCGCUCCUAACAAGAAAUAAAAAUAUAAUAAUAAAUGAAUCAUCAAUUAAAUAUUUUAUUGUCCAAGCAAUAGCAUCGACAAUACUAUUAUUUUCAAUUU